AUUUUAGUAGUGGCAGAAUCAUAGCCAAUGAGGUUAAUCUGAGGUGUGAUUAUUGCUAGUUGAAAUAUUUAGCUUUUUUAUGUACAAAGAACAUACAAGUGGAAGUGAAUCAUGGGAAAUACAUGGCUUUUAAAUGGACCUGCUUCUUCAUUUUUGAAAGCAUCAUGGAUA
rnacentral:snRNA from 1 species